rnacentral:tRNA from 1 species
UCUCAGUUGGUAAAGAAUCUGCCUGCAAUGCAGGAGACCCAGGUUCAAUUCCUGG